AGGAUCACCCUGAAAACGCGGAACGGAGUAUGAUUUUAUGACGUGAGGAAGAAGAAUUACAAACUAUAUUUUAUACACUAUUUCAGUUAUUUGAGUACUGCAACGAGAGAAAAGAGACGCGAUGCUGUUUGUAUUUUUCUGACAGAUUAAAACAUGUAUGCAAUGUCGUAAACAGCCCCGAUCCAAACUGUAUUCCGCAUCUCUGGGGAGCCGGAUUCUCUGUACUCUGACCUUUAGACACAUUGGUUGUUCUUCUGGGCCAGCAUUAAACGAGCCUUGAUGACAUCAUCCAAAAUGGUCAAUAAAGCCAGAUCUCAUUGCUUCCUGUUGAUUAGCUCCUGCUAUUCUGGCUCCAGGAGUGUCUGCCAAUAACAUGCCUUUCUGGCACCGGGGGUCUGUGAGAUGGGCUCCUGAGAAACGCCUGGUCAUGCGGAAUGCUAUGAGAAGACAUUUGGGUGCCUCUACUAUACCCCUAUGAAUCACCUUUAAUUUUAUAAUACUGAAUAAAAAAAGAGUCUGUUUGGUUUGAUGAUGCUUGGGGGUGCUUACACACUUCAGUUUCACACAUUUGCACCACUUCUGAAAUACAUGCCAACUGCAACGACCUUAUGUCUUUUCCCUGAAAAAACGGUCACUUUUUAUUCUG